rnacentral:misc_RNA from 1 species
UUAAGUUUAGCGGGUAUCCCCACUUGAUUCGAGGCCAUGUGAGACGGUUACUGGCGCACGUCGGAAGCCCUGGCCACAUUGUGUUGCGGUUCAGGCACGACGGACGCCCAGGGGUUUGGAGCAUUCCCUUGCAGGAAAUCUCAACGCAAGGCAGAGCCUCAUGACACAACCGGCGCUCGAACAAGUGUACUCCAAGGAAU